GAUGAAGAACGCAGCGAAAUGCGAUAAGUAAUGUGAAUUGCAGAAUUCAGUGAAUCAUCGAAUCUUUGAACGCAUCUUGCGCUCCUUGGUAUUCUGAGGAGCAUGCCUGUUUGAGUGUCAUUAAAUUCUCAACUACACUGACUUUGAAUUGGUGUGGCUUGGAUUUGGGGGGAAAAUUGUUGUGGGCUUUUUGUAUAGUCUGCUCCCCUGAAAUUGAUUAGCGGUACCUUUGUGGAACUGUCUACAGGUGUGAUAAUUAUCUACAUCUUAGACAUCUGCUGGAAUGCUGCUUUCUAAACCUUACUUGUAUUGACAAUCUUGACCUCAUAUCAGGUAGGACUACCCGCUGAACUUAAGCAUAUCAAUAAGCGGAGGA
rnacentral:misc_RNA from 1 species